rnacentral:rRNA from 1 species
AGCAGCCGCGGUAAUUCCAGCUCCAAUAGCGUAUAUUAAAGUUGUUGCAGUUAAAAAGCUCGUAGUUGAAUUUCGGGACCAAUUUGUUGGUCGUGCCUCGGUACGUACUGGUAUUAUUGGUUUCUCCCUUCUGAAGAACCAUGAUGCCAUUAAUUUGGUGUCGUGGGGAAUCAGGACUGUUACUUUGAAAAAAUUAGAGUGUUUAAAGCAGGCAUACGCUUGAAUACAUUAGCAUGGAAUAAUGAAAUAGGACGUUUGAUCCUAUUUUGUUGGUUUCUAGGAUCGACGUAAUGAUUAAUAGGGAUAGUUGGGGGCAUUAGUAUUCAAUUGUCAGAGGUGAAAUUCUUGGAUUUAUUGAAGACUAACUACUGCGAAAGCAUUUGCCAAGGAUGUUUUCAUUAAUCAAGAACGAAAGUUAGGGGAUCGAAGACGAUCAGAUACCGUCGUAGUCUUAACCAUAAACUAUGCCGACUAGGGAUCGGAUGAUGUUAAUUUUUUAAUGACUCA